rnacentral:pre_miRNA from 1 species
CAACUACUCCCUCUGUCCCAAAUUUCUUGUCUUAGAUUUGUCUAGAUACGGAUGUAUCUAAUACUAAAACGUGACUUGAUACAUCCGUAUCUAGACAAAUCUAAGAAAAGAAUUUUGGGACGGAGGGAGUACUUU